GGCGGAGUAGCACACGGCGUCCCCCUCCUAAGGGGAAGGUCGUACGUUCGAAUCGUAUCGGGGGCACCA
rnacentral:tRNA from 1 species